rnacentral:rRNA from 1 species
GACGUAGGGCGCGAGCGUUGUCCGGAUUUAUUGGGCGUAAAGAGCUCGUAGGCGGCUUGUCGCGUCGAAUGUGAAAUCUCAGGGCUCAACUCUGACAUUGCAUUCGAUACGGGCAGGCUAGAGUUCGGUAGGGGAGACUGGAAUUCCUGGUGUAGCGGUGGAAUGCGCAGAUAUCAGGAGGAACACCGGUGGCGAAGGCGGGACUCUGGGCCGAUACUGACGCUGAGGAGCGAAAGCGUGGGGAGC